AUGGGAGAAAAUCAGGGACUCGAGAAGGCAAUUGAAAAAUUGGCUGAGCUCCUAACAGCCAAGGUAGGAGCUGCAGCAUCUCUAAAUAAUGCAAUUGUUCCUCACAUUGAGCCAAUUCAGAAAAUUGACUUGAUGCCAAAUGAAAUUAAGAUGGAAGGUGUUAAGAAUUAUUUGAGCUGGUCAAGAAGGGCGCUACUCAUCUUGAGGACUAAAGGGCUUGAGGGCUUUGUCAGUGGUGAGGCAGAGGAGCCGGGAGACAAGAAAACUUCAGAAUGGAGGACAUGGAGCAGUACCAACUCUUUGAUAGUGGCAUGGUUGUUGAACUCCUUGUCUCCAACCAUUGCCGCAACUGUUGAGACUAUCUCAACUGCUACUGAGGUAUGGAAAACCCUCUCAAAACUGUACUCAGGUGAAGGGAAUGUGAUGUUAAUAGCUGAAACAGAGGAGAGAGUUGGUGAACUCAGACAAGGGGAAAAUUCUGUGAUGGAGUAUGUUGCUGAACUGCAGCGUUUGUGGGCUGAUUUAGAUCACUAUGAUCCUCUGGAUUUGCCACAUGCAGAUUGCAUAGCAGCUGCUAGAAAAUGGAUUGAACGCAGACGAGUGAUGCAGUUUCUCAAAGGAUUGAACUCUGAAUUUGAGGCGAGACGUGCUACUUUAUUUCAUCAACCUACUCUACCUGCCUUAGAGGAUGCCAUAGCAGCAAUGGCACAGGAGGAGGUCCGAUUAAAGUUGAUGAAGAACAAUACAACGACUCCAUCUCAUCCAGCCUUCAUAGCAACCGACUAUAAGAGCAGAGAGUGCUUCAACUGCGGUGAGAAGGGUCAUUUGAUUCGUUCUUGCACGGCUCCACGUAGGAACAUGCGUGGAAGGGGGAGAGGAUAUAACCGAGGUGGAUUAAGGGGAGGCCGAGGCCGGGGAUACUCUGGUGGUCAAAGGGCAAAUGUGGCAGUCUCAGAAGAAGGAUCCUCACUCGCAACCCAAGAAGAAUCAAAGAAAAGAACAGAAAGCACAGGUGAUAAGGAUCAUGAGGAUUUUAGUUACGGCAACUUUGCUCACUUUGUAUCUACAGAUGAAGGUAAUUGUGCUCAUGCAUCUAUUCUCUCACAAAGAUCACAUCCUGAUUGGAUAUUAGAUUCGGGGGCAUCAAAGCAUGUUGCCGGCACAUCAAUGGAAUUUGAGUCAUAUAUUCCAUAUCCACCCACAUGA
rnacentral:rRNA from 1 species